rnacentral:rRNA from 1 species
UACGGGGGGGGCAAGCGUUGUUCGGAAUUACUGGGUGUAAAGGGUUCGUAGGCGGUGUGGCAAGUCGGGAGUGAAAUCUCUGGGCUCAACUCAGAGACUGCUUCCGAAACUGCUGUGCUGGAGUGUGGGAGAGGCGCGUGGAAUUGCAGGUGUAGCGGUGAAAUGCGUAGAUAUCUGCAGGAACACCCGUGGCGAAAGCGGCGCGCUGGACCACUACUGACGCUGAGGAACGAAAGCUAGGGGAGCAAACAGG